UUUGUUGAGUUAAAACCAAACAAAAUAAAACAAAACAACCUGUUUUGUAUGGCCAGAUUCUACAACUAGUUUCUCCGUGCUCAUUUUGCACACAAUGAUUAUCUAAUAAAAGCCGAUUAGUCCACUCUAAAGAGUCUUGACGGCCCUAAUUGUUUUUUCUCCAGCAGCAGAGCAGUUUCUGUCACAUUUACAGAGAGGAGCACCAAUCUACCAAAAUGUUGUCAUUGCACAAACAAGGAGCCACUUAAAUGCCCAAGGACUCUACCAAGUGCCAAUGCAAACCAAGGAGGAAGAAAUGACUGGUCACAAUGGAACCACAGUGACGAGUGACUUGGAGGCUUCCUUCAGAGUUUCAGCACUUGCUUCCCUUCUUCCUAUAAUAGAAGUCUUGUCAUCUGACACUCUAUGAUGAAUUCCUUUUAACAAUAACCAGAGUCCAGUGCCCAGCUCCUGAGCAGUUUUCUCCCUCAUCUAAUGGUUAGAAUUGCAAUUUAUUUGUCAUCCUGGCUGUUUCAGGAUCUCUGCCACUGCUGUGUCCACAGAGUUCCAGGGAGGUUGAUGGCUGAGGGGGCUGAUUCGAGACUCAUGAAACCUGGAUUUCCAGAACUGAUUCCCAGUUCGACCACUUACCGUCUCUGUAAACGUGGCAAGUACUGUACUUCUCCAAACCUCAGUUUACCCAAAUAUAAAAUGGACAUCACCAGAGUACCCAAUUUAUGGAGUAUCGUGCGAGAGUUAUUAAAUACUACGAUGUGGAUAAUAAUAUGCCACCCAAAAUACGGCAUUUUGGCAGAAGGGUUAUUUUGAACUAAAGGAAUUGAGAAACCAUAGACGCAGAGCAAAGCUUUCUACCUUCGCCCUGCCUUGCCUCAAAGCACAGCGUGAAUUUCCCUUUGCGCUGGCCUCCCCCCUGCUCCUCGCUCUAAUACCAGGAAGGGCAGAAUGACAAUCACGGGAGACAACUCAAGACUCUUAUCAGUCUAGAGAUGGCACUGAGAGGAAUCUGCAUUUUAAACCUGCCUCAAAUGAACAACCCUUAUCUUCCCUUAGUUUCCCACAUAUAUUUAACUUCCCACAAGCUCAGAAGCUCAGAUUCUUUUUCUUUUGUCGCAUCCCGUCUCCACAUUUAUCACUCUUCAUUAAAAUACGCAGCUCUGUGGCUUGGUUCUAUUAGCCAGGCCGAAUGGAGUGUUUUUGAAACAGCAGUGAAAUCUCUUGGAACAAAAUGAGAUCGCUCCUGCAACCAUUCUGCCCCAAAGCAUAUUUAUAAGCAAUGGCAAGGAAAGGAGAAGGAGGAAGACACAGCCAUAAGGGGCUUGCCGGCAAAACACGGGUUAUACGCCAGGUGCCUUGCCUGAAACUUGAAGACUGGGGCGAGAUUGCUCCAAACAAAAGUAGCGAAGUUCAGAGCCAGAGAAUUCUCUGGACACAAAGGCUUUGCAAUAAAGAACUGUAUAAUGCAGCCAGCAGGUCAGCUGCAAACCGAUGCCCCUGCCCUACAGCCCAGGGUAACUAGAUUCCUUACCGUCCUUGGGGACAGAGAUGCCCACAGCACUAACUUCAGCCAGGAAACAGAAACCAGCAAGCUGCAAGGGUCGGGAGCAUCAUCACCUUGAGAGAUUAGCCGCAAGCACCAGUUGGUUUACAUAAGGCAUGGAGAGUUGCCUGGGAGGACUUUGCCCUCAAGAUCCUUCUGCAUCCAAGAGCACAGGAGCUAAGAUCAUCCCCUGAUCCAACUGGCAUGAGUUCAAUCAAGGCCGACUCGUCGGAAGAGGAGGCUGCCAAAACAGAGCUGCCUUAGCCCAGGGUCCACAGAGGACAAGCACUGGCAUCAGCAGACCCGGCACCUCUGGUGGCCGUGUUGGCAGACAAAGCCCUCAACCCCUCUGCCAAGGCACCGACACUGAUGGACAGUAACAGCAGUACCUUCAGCAGCUCCUUGUGGCAUCUUUGAGCAAAGACCAUAUGAGGACACACCAAGGAGACAAUUUUCUGCACCUCCAAGACAGAAGCCCCAGCAGACACUGAGCCUGCGGGACUUCCAGACCCCAGCACUGUGAGAAAUAAGCCACCCGGUCUUAAGUUCUGGAAAGCAGCCACCUUGAAUAAGACAUGUCAUAUAGUGGAAAGGGAUGAAAUUUAGCACCAGAAAACCUGUGUCAACUCUUGUCCUUGCUUACCCUCUUUGUGUCUCAGUUUCCUUAUCUAUAAAAUGGGGAACUAGAAGUCCCUUCACUCCCCAUAUCACAAGGUCAUGGUGAGAAUCCAGCGAGAUGAGGUUUGUAAACUGCCAACAGAAUUGCUCUUCUGUUGGAGGUCUUUAAUGAUGUUUUGCUGGGAAUCUGCCACUAAAAUUGAAAUCCAAAAAUUGCUUAGGCAAAAGAAGUAAAAAUAUGGGAAAUGGGAAAAGAGGUAGGUUAAGAGCUCUACUUUUUUUUUUUUUUUUAAGUGCUGAAGGGUUGAACUCAUGCAAACAAAUUGUUUUAAGUGAAUUUCUGUGGUUUGGUUGUCUAAAAAACAAUCUGACAGAGCUUUCAAAAUCUGGUUCGAGUUUAUUAGAACUCAAAAUUCUUAUAAUUCUACUUGUUUAUGUUAUGUGACUAUUUUAUAUUUUAUAGUGUUUAUAUCUUAUAUGGUAUUUUCUAGGAUGCUGAUAUACAGAAUCUGACAAAUAAUUGGCAAAUAAUUAGUUACCUGAAAAUAUAUACUGGGUAUGAAAUACAGUAACUAAGAUAUAAAUGACCUGAGGUUAAAAAUGGUACCUGUUUUUUAGGAUUGAACUUAUCUUAUGUUAGCACAAAUGGCACCUGGUGGCAGUAGGUGAUACUUAAGCCCAGCUCUUAUGGACUUAUUUUCUGACUUUUUAGAAAUAUAUAUAUUUUUUAUUUUAGAGCAGAUUUAGAUUUAUAGAAAAAUAGUGAAGCUAGGACACAGAGUUCCUAUAAACUCCAUACCUAGUUCCCUCUAUUGUUAAUGUCUGUCACAACAAAUGAACCAACAUGGAUACAUUAUUAUUAACUAGAGUCCAUACUUUAUUCAAAAGUCCUUAGUUUUCAUCUGUUGCUCCUUUUUGGUUCCAGGGUCCCAUCCAGGACUCCACGGUGCAUUCAGCUGUCAUGUUUCUUUUAAGCCCCUCUUGGCUUUGAUGGUUUCCCAGACUUUCCUUGUUUUUGAUAACCUUGAUGAUUUUAAGGAGUAUUGGUCAGGUAUUUUGUAGAAUAGCACUCUGUUUGGUUUGUCUGAUGUUUUGCUCAUGGCUGGACUGAGGUUAUGAGCUUUGGGGAGGAAGAUUUAUAGACACUACUUAAAUUUGGGGAUAUUCCAGUAGAGAGUCAGACAGUUCUCUGGCACAAGGAAAAAUCUUUUUGGCCUGAAGCAGCAUGGUCCACGGUGGAUAUCUCACAACUGGGAAAGUGCUGAAAAUACAAAGAGAAUCUUCCAGCAAAGUUUAGUAGCCUUAACUAAUCCUAGGAUGCCACAGAUUGCCACAGGUCUCUUCAUUAUGUUAAAUCCUUUCUUUCUGAGGAUUUUCAACACAGUCUCUUGUUGUAUGCUUUUUCUGUUUUGUUUCUUGUUUUGUUUUGUUUUGUUGGGGGGAAAGACUUUCAGUUUUGUAAUAGAAUUUAACUUGAAAACAGUGUUUAUUUGAGAGAAAUCCUCUUAUAGGCAAUGUCAGUGAACUACCUUAGAUAUCUGAAACUCCCUGUUAUCCCAAACAAAAAUGCAUGAAUGAGAACAUGGGGUCUAUGUGCUGGAAAGAACUCUGUAACCCUGCUUCUCACAAACAUUCCUUCCAGUGGAAGGGUCAAAUUAAUGAAGUCUCUCCCACACCACGAACCUGGGACAUGAUUUAAAAAUGGAAUGGAAAAUACAGUCUCUAGACGCAGGUCAUACCGGGACAGGCUGAUAGUAUACAACCCAGGACAACCAAGUAUGAAUUUGAAUCCAAGAAAUUGCAGGGAUCCUGAAAUACUCCUCCCAAGAAUUAACUACGCUAUUUAAUUUUCUACAAGGGCUAUGCUGUUAGUAAAAGGUAAAACAAUUUUCCAAAUAUAGAAAAAAAUAUAAACAUUAUGUAACACA